AGUGAACGCUGGCGGUAGGCCUAACACAUGCAAGUCGAACGGCAGCACAGUAAGAGCUUGCUCCUACGGGUGGCGAGUGGCGGACGGGUGAGGAAUACAUCGGAAUCUACUUUUUCGUGGGGGAUAACGUAGGGAAACUUACGCUAAUACCGCAUACGACCUACGGGUGAAAGCAGGGGAUCUUCGGACCUUGCGCGAUUGAAUGAGCCGAUGUCGGAUUAGCUAGUUGGCGGGGUAAAGGCCCACCAAGGCGACGAUCCGUAGCUGGUCUGAGAGGAUGAUCAGCCACACUGGAACUGAGACACGGUCCAGACUCCUACGGGAGGCAGCAGUGGGGAAUAUUGGGCAAUGGGCGCAAGCCUGAUCCAGCCAUACCGCGUGGGUGAAGAAGGCCUUCGGGUUGUAAAGCCCUUUUGUUGGGAAAGAAAAGCAGCAGGUUAAUACCCCGCUGUUCUGACGGUACCCAAAGAAUAAGCACCGGCUAACUUCGUG
rnacentral:rRNA from 1 species